UACGUAGGAGGCAAGCGUUGUCCGGAAUUACUGGGUGUAAAGCGCGUGUAGGCGGCAGGCCAAGUCUGUGGUGAAAUCGCCCGGCUCAACUGGGCGGAGUCCAUGGAAACUGGUCGGCUGGAGGACGGUAGAGGUGAGUGGAAUUCCCGGUGUAGUGGUGAAAUGCGUAGAGAUCGGGAGGAACACCCGUGGCGAAGGCGGCUCACUGGGCCGGUCCUGACACUGAGGCGCGAAGGCGUGGGGAGCGAACGGG
rnacentral:rRNA from 1 species